UACGUAGGGGGCAAGCGUUGUCCGGAAUCAUUGGGCGUAAAGCGCGUGUAGGCGGCCUUGUAAGUCCGUUCUGAAAGCCCGGGGCUCAACCCCGGGAGGCGGAUGGAUACUGCAAGGCUCGAGUCCGGAAGAGGCAAGUGGAAUUCCCGGUGUAGCGGUGAAAUGCGCAGAUAUCGGGAGGAACACCAAUGGCGAAGGCAGCUUGCUGGGACGGUACUGACGCUGAGACGCGAAAGCGUGGGGAGCAAACAGG
rnacentral:rRNA from 1 species